rnacentral:miRNA from 1 species
AACCUCAUGGACCAGAAGGAAUUCCUUCCAGCCAAUGAGAUUUUUGUACCUCAUUGACCAACCGGAAAUAUUUCCUUCCAGUUGGUGAGGUAUAACAACCUCACUGGCCAGAAGGAAUUCCUUCCGGUUGGUGAUGUA